GGAAAGCUAAUAAUAUUCUUCAAGCUUGUUUUCAUUAUUUUCACCCGAUAUUAUGAGCAUUUGACUGCAAAAGCCGUCGCAAUGUGAGUUACCCCGGGAAGAGGUCCUCCUGUCUCAGCGGCAAGCAAGGGACCCGGUGAUGGCGUUGGCGUACCGUUUUAUAUCUUCGCGGGCUUCCGGUUAUGGCCAUAGACCUCACGGUGACGUCAUCACGCCGGACUUCUUCGGAUGAUUGACAGGGAGAAAACCAACCAGAACGUUAAACCUGCGAAAGUAAAAGUGAAAGACAGAAACCGAGAGGAAAAAAAAGAGCACUCCAAAAGAAACAACACAUUAACGUCACAUAGGGACGUAACAGUCCAUGUUGCACCAUUACAGCCCAAUAAAAAGAAGAGCUUGGUUGCUGCACAGAAUUACUAGAUCUUGAACAUGAACUUCUUUAGAACCUUGAUAUCAGCAGCAGUUCUGCUUACAUCUGAAGGGUUCUAUGUACAAGGGCCUCUUUAUCCUCUGGUUGCACAACUAGGGGGAUCCACAAUACUGUCCUGCUUUGUGGAAAACCCAUUACCUCUGGAGGAGCUGGAGGUUGAAUGGAAAAGGACAGAUGAACAGACAGUAGUGCAACUGUUUCAGAAUGGAGAGGUUAGACCUGAGGCUCAGUAUCAGUCUUACAGGAACAGAGCACAUUUUUUUUUCUGACCAGAUAUUUAAAGUGAACUUUUCAAUUCUGUUGGAAAACAUAUCUGUUGCAGACACGGGUAUCUACAAAUGUGUAGUUUACUCCUAUGAGGAAGUUGGGGAAAUCUCUGUUCAAAUUAAACAUGUAGGUAAGUAUUUAUCCCUAUUUAAUACAAAUCUUUUAAUAUGUCAAUGUGUUUAUCAUACAAGUAGGAUACAGACUGGUACCAAAUGAGGCUUUCAUUCACAAAAAGUAUUUGGACACUUCAGUCACACUUAAAAAUGUCUGAAUGUCUUUGCAUUAUAUAACAAAAUAUCAAACCAAAUGGCGUUUAGUUUUAAGACAUAGCACAAACACAUUUCAAGAAUCUUCUUUCACAAAAACAAGUUUAAUUUUGUAAUUAUUUAGCAAUAGAGAUAUUGUUCAGAAUUAAGACAAAAAUAUUUGAUCACACUGUGGACUUUGUGAAACACGUUGACUUGAGGUGAACUGACUUCACACAUCCACUAAAAUGACCUUAAGACCAGUUGGUUCAAAGUAAUUUAAAAGCAAAAAUGGCUAAGAAAAAUGAAGUUAGUUCUGAGAAAAGCUCUUGAAUUAUUUCUUUGCAGAUGCAACUUGGUUUGGUAUUUUGUAUCUAAUGCAAUUAUGUUUUUUUAACUGUGACUUAAGUGUCCAAAUACUUUGGGGGUCACUGUAGAUAUUUAAAACAUAUUACUAAUUGCUGCUAUAUUUUAUGUAAUAAAGAUGACCAUAUUUUUAUUUUGUAUAUUACAGAGCAUGUAGUUGUGACAAGAGAACAACAUGUUGUGUUUGCGUAUAUUGGUGAGGAGGUUGUUCUUAAUUGCAUGGUUGACUCAUAUAUUCCUCCUCAACAUUUUGAGGAGGUCACUUGUAAAAAGGUUGACAAAAGUUCAGACAUCAUCCCUGUGCUGCUUUUCCAAAAUGGGACAGUAUAUCCAGAAUCCAUUCAAAAGAGUUAUAGAGACAGGGCUGACUCUUCAUUGAAGAAAUUCCCAAAGGCAACUUUUCAAUGAGACAAAAAAAUGUCCAGACUGCUGACAAGGGGAAUACAUGUGUGAAGUUCACACAGAAUAUUCAGUGACCUCCACAACUGUGGAAAUAGGGCAGCUGGGUAAGUCAUGUGUGGAGUUGAAAUUCACUUUUAUACAUUAACUUUGAAAAAAUACUGUAUGGAUGAUUUAUAUAUAUAUAUCAGCCACAACAUUAAAACCACCUGCCUAAUAUUGUGUAGGUCCCCCUCGUGUCGCCAAAACAGCACCAACCCGCAUCUCAGAAUAGCAUUCAGAGAUGAUAUUCUUCAUCUCAGAAUUCUUCUAUUAGCUAAGUAACUAAUAAAUUAAACAGUUGCACUUGAGAUAUGAUGUUCCUGUUCCUCCACAGACACCCGCACAAGACCUGUGUACAUACAUUAUUUGCAAGUUGUCUGUCCCAACAUCUGUUUAUUUAUUGCAUUUUCUCUAUGGGGUGUAAUUGAGGGUAAGCAUCCCAAGCAUUUUAUCUAAGUUUACAUUCUCAAAUAAUAAUAAUAAUAAUAAUCAUUAUAUAUAUAUAUAUAUAUAUAUAUAUAUAUAUAUAUAUAUAUAUAUAUUCAUAUUCAUCAUUUUGAGCUUCUGCUUUGCUCAGGGUCUGUAGUUGAGGUGACAAUGUGUGCAACAAUUAAUAUGACGAGGAUCAUUUUGUUAUUCCUCAUGGCCCCAUAUUUUCACUGGAAUAGAGUGGUUUCAGGUAUGUACAUUUUAAUGAAAGACUGUUUUUCUGUUUCUGUUCAUCUUUUAUUCUGUGAAGCAUUUUAUGUUCUAAAGCCAUGAA